rnacentral:pre_miRNA from 1 species
GGUAGAGGGGUUCCACAGGAGUGACCUGAGAUCACAUGUAGCAUUUAUGUAUUGCGCUUGAUGUGUUCUCAGGUCGCCCCUGCGGUACCUUCUCUACC